GUGUGUUCCGCAGUGAGCAAGCUGCCAAUGGAAAACAAAGGUUUACAUUAUAUUGUGCUGACGACAUCAGGUCUCCAUGACAGCUUAUGGGUACCAGACACCUAGAACAAGAUGGUCCGUUGCGUGUUUGUGAAACAGGACGAGGGAAAGAGAAUAAAAGCAUCAAGAAAAAAUGUAAAUGUGUUUGAGAGCUUGAUGAAAUCAUAUUUGCUGACUGUUUCCCUCUAGAGUGUCUAUUUGGUGCCAUAAUGACGCCCCUCAGUCGAAAGUGUGUAGUGCAGCUCACUUUGUGCUUGGGCUUGUAGUGAUAAUUAGACUGUUAAAUUCGAUUCAUGGAUACACUGUUUUAAAUAUAGAAGUAAAGGGACAGUUCUCACAAAAAUGUAAAUUCUGUCAUCAGUUACUCACCCUAAUAUUGUUUCAAACCUUAUGACCUGCUUCUGUACCUUAUUUCUGGAACACAAAAGGAG
ensembl:lncRNA